AUUCGAUGAACACUCUAUAGAUCUUUAUUUGUUUCUUCUUCUGGCAUCUGUACCAUUCACUUGUGUUGGGUUCAUUUGUACUCUGGAGAAAAUGAAAACUAUUAUAUGUGCUACUCUUCUCCUUCUGGCCUUCAGCUAUGGGGAAGCGCUGAAGUGUAACUUGUGUAUAUCCAGUCCAUUUCAACCCUGCACUCCAUCAGUGCAGAACUGUCGUUACUAUGUCAAGGGCUGCGGGAAUGUGCAGUUCCUAUCUGGCCCACUGGCCUCUUCCUCAAUACGCUCCUGCAUGGACAUGGCCACAUGUAGGAACUACCAGAACAUGCCAAACACGGUUGCCAUUUGCUGCAGCACGGACCUCUGCAACUGAACAGACGACGCAGUACACACAGCUGUCUUAUAGUUCACACCAGAGCGCUAACUAAGCUGAGAAUGAACGGAUUGUGAUACAGGCGCUGCUUUGAGUCUAAUUAAGUCUUAGCUUAAAUUUAAAUUUCAUAAUACAUCAUGUGUAUUAGAUGUUGAUUCAUGUGAUUUUUAUGAAUAAAAAUACAAGUUGGAAUAAUGAAGUGACUGUUUUCUGCAUUCUAAUAUGAUUAAAAGGAGGGAUCAGACUCUCGGAGGCAAUAAAGAGACUUCCUGCUUACUGUA